AGAAAACCGACAUAUGCCUCGAAAUGAUAGGAUAAACAUUAAUAAUCUCGUAGAUUACAUAAAUAAAACCUAGCACACACAUUUUCUGAAACAAGUAACUCACUUCCUGGUGAAAAUAUAACUAUAAUCUUUUCAAAGCCAUAAUCCAAUCCUGAGAGUACAUCUGAUAUAAAACUGUCCACACCAUUCCCCAAUCAUCCGAUACCAAGUAGGGAAACUAUCUAUCGUGGGUGUAUUUUUAUUUACAUUCUGGUCAGACAGACUGUAUACAAUUUUUGAGAUGAUCAAAUCUGACAACUUUAAGCCAGAAGAAAUAAAAGAAUCAAAUCCUAUUCCUACUUCUUACAAACUCUUCUUGGUUCCUUGAUUUCCACUUAAACAAUCACCUUCACUGCUCGUUUGAGGUGUUUUUCUGCUUCACAGCCUGGACCUGUUUCCCUCUAGACUCUGCAGACUCAACUGUUUUACCAUUUCUCUUCUCAUACACUACCUUGAGCUCCUCUAAACGCUUAGAAACCUAUAAUUCAUCAUAAAAAACAAAACAAAAAUUGAGAAAGUAAAGCAUUCAGUAAAAAACAAAAAAGUUCUUACAACAACAUACAUUUUCUAAGUUUUUGCUUGCAAGUGCUAUUUAGUAAGCAUC
rnacentral:lncRNA from 1 species